UACGUAGGGCGCAAGCGUUGUCCGGAAUUAUUGGGCGGAAAGAGCUCGUAGGCGGUCUGUCGCGUCGGAUGUGAAAGCCCGGGGCUUAACCCCGGGUCUGCAUUCGAUACGGGCAGACUAGAGUGUGGUAGGGGAGAUCGGAAUUCCUGGUGUAGCGGUGAAAUGCGCAGAUAUCAGGAGGAACACCGGUGGCGAAGGCGGAUCUCUGGGCCAUUACUGACGCUGAGGAGCGAAAGCGUGGGGAGCGAACAGG
rnacentral:rRNA from 1 species